GCCUGGGUGGCUCAGUUGGUUGAGCGUUCGACUUCGAUUUAGGUCAUGAUCUCGUGGUUUGUGGGUUCGAGCCCCACCUUGGGCU
rnacentral:tRNA from 1 species